GACCAAAUAGCUCAGUGGUUAGAGCACCCGGUCGAAACCUGGGAGGUCCCAGGGUUCAAUCCCCUGUCUGGUCG
rnacentral:tRNA from 1 species